GUUUGGUAACCGUAACCCGAAUAUUGUCAUCGGAUUCGUGUAAAAGCUCAGGACACACCAAACCCACCGCAGGAGAUGGUCCCCCUCCCAGCUCCCACCCCUGCAAGCAGCACCCAUGGGUGCAUGGAGGCCAAACCUGCUUCCCUCCAUCUCUGAGCAUGGUCUUUGUUGGACCUGACCCACCGGGGCCAGCCCUGAGCUGGGCCUUUUGUGUCCUACAGCAUUUUUAACUCCAGCUGAAAGUGGCUGCAACUGCAACAGCCUGGUGCAAAGCCCUGGGGCCAUAUGGGGCGGCCCCACACCAGGAACCUACUUGUCCAGGGACCAAGGUGACACAGGGCUGGAUCUCCACCACCCUGCAAGCAAGCCAGGCUGGAGGAUGAGUUUUGUGUGGGAGCACACAAGGAAAGGCUUUGAGAAACCCUAAGCAUCUGGAUGGAGGAACCCAUCCAAGGGAUGGAGGAAACUGCCCAGGGGAAAGGCCUAUCCAAAGGAUGGAGGAAUCUAUCCAAGGCAUGAACUCAUCCAAGGGAUGGAGGAACCCAUCCAAGGGAUUGGAGGGACCCAGUCAAGGGAUGAACUCAUCCAAGGGAUGGAGGAACCCAUCCAAGGGAUUGGAGGGACCUACCCAUGUAAUGAACUCAUCUGAGAGGGAUGGAGGAAACCACCCAGGGGAUGGUCUUACCCAAGGGAUGGAAGGACCUACGCCCAGGAGAUGGUCUUACCCAAGGGAUGGAAGGACCUACCCAAGGGAUGAACUCAUCCAAGGGAUGAAGGAACCCAUCCAAGGGUUGGAGGGACCUACCCAUGUGAUGAACUCAUCUGAGGGAUGGAGGAACCCAUCCGAGGGAUGGAGGAAACCACCCAGGGGAUGGUCUUACCCAAGGGAUGGAAGGACCUACCCAAGGGAUGGAAGAAUCUACCCAAGGGAUGGAGGAACCGAUACAAGGGUUGGAGGGACUCAAGGGUUGAACCCAUCCAAGGGAUGGAGGAACCCAUCCAAGGGAUGGAGAGAGCUGCCUGCCACUCCACUGUCAGUGGUUCCAGGGAUGCUGAGACGCUGCCCAUCAUGCUGAGCCCCUCCUACAAACCCAUCAAACAUCCUGCCCGCUUUUCCCCGGCUUCACCCCAAGCUCUGCCACCACCCGGGAUGUUCACCCACCUGCUGGCAAAUUAAGGCUUAAAAAAAACCCCAAACCCCAGCCAAACCGAUAAUAAUAACAAUAAUAAUAAUAAUAAUAAUAAUAAUAAUAAUAAUAAUUGGCCCGAGCCACCCCGGGAGCAGGACGGAGCAUCCUCGAGCAUCUCAACACACACACACACACACGCUCCCUUCCAGUUCUAUUAAGGACUCCUAUUCCUAACGACCAAAGGACAAACAUCUCCCUCUUCAAACCCAAUUAUCUCCCUGCUAUUUAUACGGAGCGAGGGCCGCAGGAACGGCCGUUACUCAUCUCUCCCGCCCGCCCCGGUGGUCCUGGGGGCUGCUCCUUCCUCCCCUGCCUCAUCCUCAGCCGCUGACUCACAGGAAGGGCAAAAGUGAUGCUGGUUUGGGAUUUUUAGCUGCCAAAACACACCGGUUGGUUCAGCACCGACUCCAGGGUCGGUGGAUGCUGCUGGUACCCAACAUCCAGGGGAUGCUCCCAUCCCUCCAACCCCCCCCGGUGAUGCUGCGGGGGGCCAAUUCCCAGUUUUUUGGGGGCAGUUUGGGGGGAAGCAGUGACGCCGAAGACAAAAGGGAGGAAAGGUGGGAAAGGGAACUCCCCCCCCAUCCCGUGUGAUUUAUUUUGGGGGGGGGGGGGGAAGGAAAUUUGGAGGGUUUUUUUUUUUUUUUUGCUUUUUUUUUUUCCAGAAGAGUUUGCCUUGCUACGACUGUUUGCUUAAGAAGCUAUUGAAAAGAUCUUC
rnacentral:lncRNA from 1 species